rnacentral:rRNA from 1 species
UACGUAGGGACCAAGCGUUGUUCGGAUUUACUGGGCGUAAAGGGCGCGUAGGCGGCGAAUCAAGUCAGCUGUGAAAUCUCCGAGCUUAACUCGGAACGGUCAGCUGAUACUGUUUUGCUAGAGUGCAGAAAGGGCAACCGGAAUUCUUGGUGUAGCGGUGAAAUGCGUAGAUAUCAAGAGGAACACCAGUGGCGAAGGCGGCCCACUGGCCCGAUACUGACGCUGAGGUGCGAAAGCGUGGGGAGCAAACAGG